UACGGGGGGGGCAAGCGUUGUUCGGAAUUACUGGGCGUAAAGGGUUUGUAGGUGGCUUGCUAAGUCAGACGUGAAAUCCCUCAGCUUAACUGGGGGACUGCGUCUGAGACUGGCAAGCUGGAGUGCAGGAGAGGAACGCGGAAUUCCAGGUGUAGCGGUGAAAUGCGUAGAUAUCUGGAGGAACACCGGUGGCGAAGGCGGCGCUCUGGACCGAGACUGACGCUGAGGCGCGAAAGCGUGGGGAGCAAACAGG
rnacentral:rRNA from 1 species